AGGGCUCUACAGCGCCCCCUGGAACACAGUCAGAAAUGUUGAUGUAUAGCUCACACAUACUUGCACAUAUUCAUAUGAAACUCAGUACACAUAUAGAUCUCAUUGUGCCGAACAAUUUUCGUACUGCAUGUCAUUGGGCUCCGCCCAACAGGAAGUCAGCUAUUUAGAGUUAUGUAAAAAGGGCAUGCUCUGGAAUUUGAUAUACUUGUCAUAGGAUUUUUACCCGAUUGCCACCAAACUCGGUCAACAUGAUCUCAAGACAUUGGGGAUGAAAAAUUGCCAGGGGAUUUUUGAUAUCUCGAACGGCUUGCUCGUGGCGAGGCGUUGAAAUUAUGGCGAGAAAUGAGAAACAGGAAGUGUCUAAUACCAUCCACAUACAUUUCCUGAUUUUAAUCAAACUUCAUCAGAUUAUUCGUUGUAUGAUGUCGAUCGCAUAUAUGUGACUAUUAGGAGUCAAAGUUAUAGCGCCACCAACUGGCAGCAGAAAGUGUGUCAUUUUCAAAAUGCUUUGAAUUCAGCAUCUUAUUUUUACUCGAUUUGCUUCAAACUUCAUCAGAAUAAUGUUAAAACACAGCCGAUAUAAAUCUGCUGGGGGGAUAUUGAUAUCUAAAAAUAUUGUUGCCGUGGCAACAUGUCAAACUGGAAUACUUCUCAGGUGAUUUUGAGGCAUAUAACAUGCUUAGAAUUUCAUCAAACUCAGAACACAUAUCAGUAUUAGUGACAGCUAGACACUGGCAAAAUUUCAUAAGAGGGCGUGGAAGAGGCACUCUAUAGCGCCACCUUUUGUCAAAAGUGGGGGGGUUAGUUUUAGCUACAGACACCAAACUCAGUACAAAAAUUGUUCUUAUCAAGACGGACAACUUUCUAAUUCACAGUCAUCAGCUACGACCAACAGGAAGUCGGCUAUUUUGAUUUGAAUGUGGAUUGUUUUUUACAUUUAGCUGUGAAUUAAUGCAUACUGCUCAGAGGAGAGUAACACUAUACACACCAAACUUGGUGUACAUGUUGAAAAAACAUUGAGGAACUUAAAUUGUGAAUGGGUUUUGGAUAGCUUGGAUGGUUUUGUCGUGGGGAUUUUUUAAAAUGACAAUAAAGAUGGAAUUAUUAAUUUUCCUGCAUUUUUAAAUUCCAUUCACUUCAAAACCUUUUUUCAUACAGAAAAAAAGUUAUUCUGAGUAAAUAUGCAUAGUUUCAUGACUUUACAACACUGUAUGGAUAACAGAAAAUUAAAAAACUGUCAGACAUCUCAUAUCACUCUGUCCCUCAGUUUGAGUGUGUGUGCUUAGACUUCCAUUGUCUGAGAGAAAUAGCGCCCCUACAGGUGCAGUUACCGGAAUAAAAAAGGGAGGAGACUGUCUUUUGGUUUCGAUUUUAAAUCGGUUAAAAUACAAAUAAAUACUUGGAUUUAAUUCACACUGACAAGCUAAACCAACAUAUAUGAUUAUUAUAAGGUCAGGGCUCAUUAAUAAUUGAUGUGUGGUCAGUGAUACGUGAGAAACACGAGAGAUGAAUCACCGCUCUGAGCAGGAGCGUGUGGAAUGAUGAGCUCAGAAAAAAACGAGUUUAUUCUUGUUUUAUAGCUAUUAAAAAUAAAGUAUUGCAGCGAUAUCACACAAUUCACCAAUUAGAGCACACUAAGAGCUAAAUUAAGAUGUUUUUGAACUGUUUGUGUGAAAAUGAAAUAUUCACGGCUGCCUAUCUGAAAUCACCGCCUCCGAUCAGCGUGCACAGUGCCACAAGUUCAAAACAAACGAAUUUAUUCUUGUUUAAGAGCUUUUCAAAAUAAAUUAUUGCCAUAAAUGCACACAAUACAUCCAUUAUAACACUACACGAGCUAAAUGCAGGUGUUUGUGACCCGUUUAAGUGCGCAAGACUAUUUGAAAGCGCGACUGGCAGAAUAACAUAUAUCUCUCGAGCUGCAGGAUUCUGGCUUUCGUCGUAAGAACGAACACAUCACGGACAAGAUUAUUUCAAAAUACAUAAUAGCUUGGCUAAUAUAAACGAAAACAGCCACGUGAACAUAAACUGUUGAGAAAUAAAUCUGAAGUGGAUCUACUGGAUUUUAAUAUUAAGUGACCGCAUAUACCAGCUGCUUCUGUCUUCAAUUUUAAUCUAGGCUAUAUAAAAAAUUAAACUCAUUCAUCUUGGCUGCUUUUUUAAUGUGUGUACGUAUUUAUUUAUUAUUUUGCUCUAACAAGACUUAAUCUAUAUUUAAUUAAAUCAAUUACAUUUGAUUUUACAUUUGAUUUGUCCAUUUCUGCAUCUAAACGCCUAAAAACCUAAAACAUGCUCUAUUAUACUAUUGUUAGCAAUUUCUUUAUCGUCCAAUUUAUCUGGUGUACACACUUUAUUUUCAUAAUAAACUCGUUUGUUAGAUUAUACACAGUUAUAGUGGUCUAUAAUAAAUAUUGACAGGUUUUAUUCAAGCUGUUUAGAAUGAUUGCAGUAGGCUAAUUUGUAAAAAUGUAAAUCCCAAAAAAAAAAAAAAAAAAUGUAAAUAAAUAAAAAACAUUGGAAAAGAAUAACUUGUACUUUUUUAUACAUUUUGUAUAGUUUCAUAGUUUAUGCAUUAUAGUUAUAAAAACAAACAAAUUUAGCCACUCACAUAGAAAUCUUAGGCCUUAUCCUUUUCUGACAGUUUUAGGGAUUUUUAAAAAUCCUAAAAAACCUUAUUUGUGCUGCAAAUAAUAAUUUCAAACUAAUUUGAUACUGACCUCUGACAUCCUGUGACAUGAUAUUUAUUUGAAUUUACAUAAUCUCAUGGAUGUAACAGUAAAUCUGUUCAGCUCACAGAUCAAGACUAAGCUGUAAUGCAAGCAGAACUUUCACAAAUGCUUUUAGGUCAAUAAAAUCAUUACAAAACACUUACAAAUCAUUUAAGGGAUUUGAUAACACUGUAAAAUAAUGUCUAAUUUGUUAACAUUAGCAAAUGCAUUGAUAACACUUUAUAAUAACUGCACUCAUUAGUAAAUAGUCAGUUCAUGCUUCAUAAAGCCUUGUCCCAAUAUUAAUAGUCAGUAGUAAGCAGUUUAUAAAUACAGCUAUAAAUAGCUCAUUUAUUAAAAAGGAGAGUAAA